rnacentral:rRNA from 1 species
AUUGAACGCUGGCGGCAGGCCUAACACAUGCAAGUCGAACGGUAACAGGAAGAAGCUUGCUUCUUUGCUGACGAGUGGCGGACGGGUGAGUAAUGUCUGGGAAACUGCCUGAUGGAGGGGGAUAACUACUGGAAACGGUAGCUAAUACCGCAUAACGUCGCAAAACCAAAGAGGGGGACCUUCGGGCCUCUUGCCAUCGGAUGUGCCCAGAUGGGAUUAGCUAGUAGGUGGGGUAACGGCUCACCUAGGCGACGAUCCCUAGCUGGUCUGAGAGGAUGACCAGCCACACUGGAACUGAGACACGGUCCAGACUCCUACGGGAGGCAGCAGUGGGGAAUAUUGCACAAUGGGCGCAAGCCUGAUGCAGCCAUGCCGCGUGUAUGAAGAAGGCCUUCGGGUUGUAAAGUACUUUCAGCGGGGAGGAAGGGAGUAAAGUUAAUACCUUGGCGUAUUGACGUUACCCGCAGAAGAAGCACCGGCUAACUCCGUG